AUUUUUCCGGAAGGGAGGGGUCACGAGUUUGCAGUAUUUGGGUAAACUUUGUUUUGUUGCAGCAAUGUUUGAAAUGGGCCAUCUUCGCUACCUUUGACCACUAAGGGGGUCAGCUUAACAACACAACGUGGAGAGAAAGGCCUGCUGGUCGUGGUGGGGGACUGGCCUCUAUAUUUAGAAGCCAUUUCCUGUGUCGUCUAUCGACUGUCGAUGAAUACUCCAGUUUCACGGAGCAGCAAAAUAAAGUGGAAUUGCCUAACCAGGGAAGCACCUGGCGGAUCCGGUGAUGAGCGAUGGCGCUGUGCCAGGAUGUGCCCGGGCAGGACUCUGCCGCGGCGGCGCCAGCUCUUCGGCUCCGCGGUGGAACAAGAGGAAGUGGCGUGCUCGUCGGACACACCCCCAACCCACACUGCCAGUCAAGGCUUUAGUCACCACGAGCAGAGCUGAGAACGGAUCAGUGACAGAUGCCUGGGUGAAUUACGCUCAAAUGGUGCCCAAAUAAGGAACUCCGGACUACGUCCUGCACGAACGCCGGCUAAUGCUCUGGAAAACGUCGCUUUCUGUUUAUUUCCUUAUUUUUCACAGAGUUGGCUAAAUUCUGUGCUGCACCGAGGGGCAUUUUUUGCUAGAUAUUCUGUUAGGGUAAUAUGCUGGCAAUGUACAACGUCGGCGUGAGCUGCAUUUUUUUUUAAACACAAAGGAUUCGAACCAAUGCGGUUUAACUUUACGGGUUAACUCUGUUCCCACACCCCUCUCGUUGUCCAACCCACCAUCGUCCUCCAAGAAAAGAAAAGAAAAGAAAAGAGAACGGCUUCAUUUUAUUUGAUUAGGCUUUGAUCCAACUGUCGUUUCUCACUGCGAAAUCCUGUAGCAAGGAGGUAUUUACACGCAGCUACAACAGAGUUUGAGACAAUAAACUUUGUAUACGAUAGUAUAUUAUAGUAAAUACAACGAUACAAAUUAAAAGUAUGGAAAUUUGGGAAGAGUUUUUGCUCAAAAAGCUGAUGAAUAGUUAAAAGUUCAGAACCCUCUCGGUGCUCAGAGAAAUAGGCCUACAUUAUUAGAUGUACAGUGCAGUCCAUAAGCAUAUUUUCUGUGAAACAUUUUUUUGUAGUUUUGACUCUGUAUUCUACCACAUUGGAUUUAAAAUGAAACUAUGAAUGUGAGGCUAAAGCGCAGACUGUAAACUCUAAUUUGAGGUUAUUUCCACCCAUAUCGGGUGAUCUAUGUAGGAACUGCAGCCCAUUCUGUGACGUGGACCUGUUCAUUGUAAUAGACCAGAAAAGGCUUAACCCAUUUGAUUUCUGAGCUGUGUAAUCUUUGGCUGUCCUUUGAAAAGUUUAUUCUGAAGGCUCAAGAAUGUUGUUCCAAAUAAAAUGUAUAUCUUGAAUAUAGUAUUAGUGUCUAUGCAUGCAUACUUUUCAAAUAUAGCCUAUUGUAAAGGUCCACAUGGCGGAUUUAUUUUAUUUGUAUUCCUAAUGUGCUCAGUGUGUCACGGUACGGGUAGCAUUACGGGAAUAUGGGACUACUUCCCCUUAGUUUGUGUGGGCUGAAACUGACGUACCUUCGCUGGUUUAUCAGAUUGGUUAUCAGCUAUGGUAAAAAUGACUAAUAGACAAGUCUGAACAAACCGUCUCUCCUCGUAUUUAUUU